AAAGCCCCAUCUAUGAGCACAUGAUGCUUGGAGGGAUAUCCAAAUAUAAGCCAUAACACCUCUGAAGGACAGAGAAUUAAGCAUUUCUGACAAAUCUAAAAGGUAGACAAUGGACUAAGCCACCUGUGUGGUGAUCUAGGAAACCUCUAUAAAUUGCUUCUCACCAAAAUUAAAUCUCUUCUCCACACUCUUAUCUGUCCUAUUCUUCUGGCUAAUUGGCCAAUUUGUCUUAUUCUACUGACUUUUUAAGAAAGUACAUGUUAUGAUUUAUAUCUAGAUGACCCCAAACCCUCAUGAGCUCAUCCGUGAGUUUCUGAAAGGUGACUGGGUGAUGGAGUGGUAUAGCUGUCUCGCUCUCAGGAGGUGGAGCUUGGGAAGAAGAAGGGGUCACUGGGGGUGUUCCCUGGAAGUAUUUCGCUUCCUUCCUGGCUCCUCCCUUUACUUCCUGCUUUCUGGUGGCCAUGACUUGAGCAGCGCAUCCUCUGCCAGACCCGCCUGCCAUGGAGCCAGCUGACUAUGGCCUGAAGCUGUGAGCCAAAAUAAACCUCUCUUUCUUUCUGUGUGGGUGGUGGUAUUGUGUCCCAGCAAUGAGAAAGUGAUUUAGACAGUACAAAAGAUUUUUAGAGAUUUAAAAUUUCUGCCGACAUUUUAUGUGUGCUAACCACUGUCGCUGUCUUAAGUAUUUUAAUUAUAUGCUACUGUUUUAUUCUUAGGUUCCCUCUACAUUUUCUCACCAAAGUCCUAAUUUUAUUACUAUAAAUAUAUCUAAGCAUAUUGAACAACUUUUUCCUGUAGUUCAUGUGAUUUGUAUAUAAACUUGACUUUUACUCUCCAAAAGGGAUAAAAUAAAUACAACUGCAAAAGAUAUCCAAAAAUGCAUUUAUAAAGAAUAGACCCAAUACACCUGGUUUUUAUACUAUUCAAAAUUGGUGGAUUAUUUCUUUAUACUGUUGGUAGAACUAGGCAACUUCCUGAAGAACAUGGCAUCAGAUCUGUAGUCCAUACCUUACACUUGGUUAAAUUAUCUUACAUAAAAGACUUAAGUGUUAAGAAGAAAAAACCUAGGGGGAAAAAUCAUGAUAAUUUUUAAAAAUAUGAAAUGCGGGCUGAGGAUUUAGCUCAGUGGUUUCGGCGCCUGGUACAAAAAAAGAAGAAAGAAAGAGAGAGAGAGAGAGAGAGAAAGAGAGAGAGAGAGAGAAAGCAAGCAAGCAGCCCUUUCCAAAUGUGGUAUACAAUUCAGAAAGCAGAAAGGGGAAGGUUGAGAAAUGCUUUUGUAAAAGGUCUGAGAUUUUAAGCCCAUCUGUGUUUGGAUGUGUGCAGGGUUGUCAGCAAGCCAGAGCCGGGCAGUGGAUUGCGUGUUCUGGGCACAGAGGGCCGGCCCAGUGUGUGUGAAGAGUGGGGUCCUGAGAGCAGCUCUCCAGUCACCCAGGCCCACACCCUGCGGGGCAGCCUGCUGUCCCUCCCCGCUCAACCUCGUUUUCACAGGAAGCUGCAGAGGAGGGAGAGGAGAAAAUGACUUCAGGGCCAGUUGUGCAGAGGGGGACGGACGGGGACAGCUCCCUGCCUCCCGCCUCUUGGGGGCCGGCGGCCCCGCCUGCAGCCCCAGGCGAACCACAGGGUAAGAUCUGCAUACACAGACCCCCACCUCCUCCGCCACCCCACGCCAGGGUCGUCUGAGGAAAGAGGAGGAACGAGCGGAACAUAGGAAGCGCUCUAGAGAUUGAACUCGGGACCUUGCGCUUGCGAGGCAGGCAGCCAACCACCGAGCUAAAUCCCUGGCCCUGUGACUGUGAUUUGACCAGAGAUCCGGAACAAGCUGAAGAGAAGCAGGGCAUGAAAGCAGAUAAUGGGUGGGGUUUGGAGGAACCAAGAUUAACCAAGGAAAAGGAGCUUUAUUCACUUGCUGCCUUCCCCUGCUAUCUAGGGUUGAGCACAUCGCAGAACAAGCCAUCUACUGUCGGUGGGCAGGAAGGUAAAUCCCACGGCAAGGAUGGCAGAAAGUUGACCCCAUGCUUGAAUCGAGAGAGACCACAGGUGUGUAAGCAGCAUCCCUCCACGUGCACUCAGUGGCAAGGCCCACAACACAGGGUCGGACGCAGCAGCAUCCCCAUGGCUUAUUUGUUCCUGUCAAAAGCAUGGCAUCGUCCAACAUGGAAUAAAGUCAAGAGACAAAUCCUACAUAGGAACCCCAAGCCUAAGCCUAGAAGGGACAAAUUCUAAAACCUCAAGUCUCCAGCCAUUGCCUGUCUGCGCUGAGCUUCAGCAGACAGAGCUGGAUCUGCCCCCCAACUUGAGACCCAGAAGAUACAACCUCGUGGAGCUGGUCACGUCAUAUAAAGCUGAUGAGCUGUUUUUAAGGAGCAGUCUUUCUCCCAAGGCUGUGGCAAGUUUCCUUUUAAUCACAUCUGCGUCUUCUCUUCCACAAAUACAAAUGCAGCAGCAUCAGGGAAUGCCAUAGGAUGGACAUAUUCGUCCCUCUGUUAAAGCAUGUGUCUUAGUUACUUUCUCAUCACUGAGAGACAAUACCUGACACCCACAAGUCAAAGGAGAGAGGUUUAUGUUGGCUCAGAGUAUGUAGAGGUUUCAGUCUGUAUUCAACUGGCUCCAAGGCGGGGAGCAGGGCAGAGGAGAAACAGUCCAUGGCAGAGCAGACAGGGAUCCAGGAGGGAGGAGGGAGAUCAACCCAGGCCACACCCCACAACCACCUCCGACCAGCUCCACCUCCCAACCUCACACCCAGCCAUAAACCCAUCAGUGGACUGACCCAGUGAUGAGUAGUACACCCACAAUCCAGUCCACUCCCAAAGCUCCACCUGUGAGUGCAAGGGGCUUUGGGGGCAUCUGGAUAUAAACCCUAACAGCAUGUCACAGUCAGAAGAGCAUAGCCUUUGGAAGCAAUCAGAUCUACAUUUAAUGGUAAUUCUGCUUUAUAUCUUAAAGACUCCUUCCCAACCUGAAGUCAUGUAGACAGAGCUACAUCUCAGUAUCCAAGGGGGGCUUGCUCCAAAUGGUGCCAGAUUUGCUAUAACCCAUGCACGUCCUCCUUUGUACUGUAAAUGAUCAUUAGGUGACUUCCCAACACAAUAUAAAUCCUAUGUAAAUAGUUGUUAUAUUGCACUGUUUAGAAAAUAUGAUGUGAAAAAGUUUGCACACAUUCAGUACAGCCACAGUAUUUUUUCUGCAUGUUUCCUAUGUAUGGUUGGUUGAGCUCACAGAUGUGGAACCUGUGGACAUGGUGGGCCAACUGUGUACUCCAAGGUUCUUUCUAAAAGCUUUCCAGCUUUUUGCAUUGGAGUAUUUAAUCUAUUUACUGUUGGCUUUUGUGUGUGGGUUUCUUCCCACAGCUUCCCAGCAUUCCCAGUGACAUUUACCCCAAAGACCACCUUUCUACAAUCCUGCAGGGUCACACUGUGGUGCCCACACGAGUGUGGCUUUGCCUCUGUCCCCUUGGCUUCUGUCCACCAUGGUGACACCACACUGUCCUGAUCAGUAUGGCUUGUAAGUUUUUAUGUUGGGCAGAACAGUUCGACUGUAUUUUUACUUUGUUAAUUUUCUUCUAGACGAUCAGUUUGUCCACAUAACUGUUGGGCUUUUGAUAGCUAUGGCUGAGUCUCUACAUCAGUUUUCAGAGAGCCAGCACAUACACAGUAUGACUCCAGUUAUAUACGGUUAAAAUUAACAAAAACCAAUCUAUAGUUUUUAAGGGUUGAUAAACUUUAAAUAUAGCAAGGAAUUGAUUACCACAAAGUCAAUGGAGUGAUCACCUCUAAGGGACAGUGACUGGGAAGGGAGGCCUAAGGAGCUGUCUGAUUUCUUGACCUGAUUUUAAUUAUAUGGCUGUCUCCUUAUUUAUUAAAAUAUGUAUUUAUAUUUUACUCAAUUUUUAUAUGUAGCUGUUACAUUAGUCUUAGUUUCUCUCUCUCUCUCCCUCUCUCUCUCUCUCUGUCUUUCCUGACUCCCAACCCCCAGUUUUCCCAUGUAUAAAAUGGAUCUAUGCCAGGCAUGGUGGUGCACACCUAUAAUCCUAGCACUUGGGAGGCUGAGGCAGGAGGACUUCGGUUAGUUUGAGGCCUGCCUGGGCUAUGUAGUGAGUUCAAGGCUGGCCUGGAGUACAUAGUGAGACCUUGUCUCAAACAACCAAAAUAAAAAUAGAAUUCCUUUUUAAAAAGUACAAUGUACCCAGUACCUGUACUACAGACUCUCCUCCUACAGCCCUGGAAACGGCACCUCGGGCAGUGCUUGCACAAGACAGACAGCAGGCUCACGAUUCCCUCCCCUCCCCAGGAACCGGAGUGGGAUCAGAGCCCAGGGUGAGAGGAAAGGCCAUCCAAGGGCUUCCAUAGUCAGGCGUGCCCCUCGCAUCUCGGGUACACGCUGUCCUGUGCCUGCACGCGGAGGCCACCCGGGUGUGGGGCAGAUGACGCUGCUCAGCAACACCUAUCUCCAGCCCAGCCUCUGCAGGGGUCAGCGCUUGGCAAGGGCUCUCCCCACCCGUCCCUCUGUCCUCAGGUCAGGGGACAGUGAACCCGGGGGCUUUGACCCCACUGGUGAGCACUGCCAGGCUGUUGCACGGGGGUUGGAGUUUUGAGGAACUCAUCCUGGACUGAGGUCCCUUUACAGCAGGGCCACCAAGCUCCUGUCACAUAUCUGUCCUCUGAGGACCUGGGAAGGAGCAGCCAAAGCAGUCCCUUAAAAAUAAAAACUAAGACACUAGAGUAAGAUAUUGUGAGCGACCAUCAAAUACCCCCGGCAUUUGUUGGCCCUUCAGAUGUAUGGCUUGUCUCCCUUCACAUGAUAAAUGAGUUUUCUUUUCACCCCCACGGAGUGCUGGGAUGCUCACCAUCACAGGAGUAAACUGUGGACAUGUUGCAUGAGUCUAAGUCUGUGCCAGGACAACUAUGACUGGAAAUGAUGAACACACGUUUACCUGCUCAUCUGCCCAGCCUUCGCUUUCCGCAGCAGAGGACUGUCUACACCUGAAGGAAAUAAAAUCACCAACUGGGCACAAAAUUAGCCACCUGCUGAGCCGUAGAGGGAGCAGCUGCCUCUGUGGGCACAGAGACCCUACCUGGGGCCAUCGGGACCCUCUCUGCAAAGGCUGGGAUGGAAGCAGAGCGGCUGGAAUCUCUGUGUGGCCAGAGGUUCCCGCCUGGGGAGGCUGGGGAAGCCCUGCACUAGGGGCGGAGGAAGCUUCGGCAGGGAAAGUGCACUUUGCAUCCGGUGCGGAAGGAAGAGGAAAUCAAGGAAGAGCUCUGAGCCCCUCUGCAGCUCAGCUCCGCCGGGGCCCCUGUCACACCUGCCCCUCUAAGUGGAGUCCGUGUUGAUUGGUUGGUUUUGUCUUAAACUGGUUUGGCUGUAAAGGGGGUGAAAAGAAAACCCCCCUUUCCUACCACACUUAGUUGCCAAUCGUUCCGGAGCCCUGGCCUCCCCAUCCUGUCCUGUGUGCACCGAAGGUCACUUAGCCCCACGGCCUCCACCGCAGAGGCACCAAGCGGUGCCCGCUUUUACGGUGCACGGCAGGGCCUGCACCCGUCCCUCCCAAAACACAACCCGAGUUGUUCAGCACUCCUACAGAGGGUAGCGCCUCCUGCAUGUUGUGGGACACAAAGGCCCGCACUCAGGUCACCCCCGAGAGUAACCGAGGCUGGGACAGCCGACAGCAUUGCUGCACGGUGUGGCUGGCGGGAGCUGGGAAAAGGUGCUGAGAAUCGAGUGAAGCCUCCUGCCCUACGCGGCCCCUAGGUCCGGGAAGACCCUCUUGCCGCGCGCUGUGGCAGCAGCUGUCUUACGUUCAUCAUCUCUGUUCCUGCAGCGACCGGGGAGAUCGAUGAAGUCCACCGAAGACAAAACGCCCUAAGCCACAGAGUCUGCAUCUUUCCUGAUCCAUCAUCUGUCAGGCAUCCGAAGGCAUCAGAGCUACAGCCGCACGGAGGCCUGGUCCUGCAGGACUAAGCUCAGUACUUCAGGACCAACUCAGUCUUCCCCCAAGGCACCCCGGUUAGUCUGAUGCCAGUGGCUGAGACAUUUUUUCUUCUUUUAUAGCACUGAGAAUUUGACCCAGGGAGCGCUGAGCUACAUCCCUAUCCCCCUGCAUGCACACGCAUGUGCACACAUACACACACAUUUUGAGACAGUGAUUCAGCCAGUUGCCCAGGCUGUCCUUGAACUUGAAAUUUUCCUGCCUCAGCCUCCUGAGUAGCUGUGACUGCGCACAUGCACCACCACGCCCGGCGAAAGACAACACUCGGGAGUUCUCCAGCUCUCUCUGCCUAGCCCAGCGGUGGUGAAUCUAUGGCACAUGUGCCACAGCUGGCUGCUAGCAUUAAAAGCUCUGAAAGAUUCGCCAUCCCUGCUCCAGCACAAUAUCUCAAACACAGCAGAUGCCCAAGAAAAAGGAGCAAGAGAAGAGGGGAGAAAAGGGGAGAGGAGAGUUGGAGUCAAGCCUAACCUGAGCCCCACCCCAAGGGAGAGCACUAGACACAGGGCUCGGGGCCAGUAACAACGGGGAGGACUUUCGGGUAAUUAAAAUACUGCAGGACACAUCGGCACGUGCGUGGGCCUUGUGGACCUUUGCAUUUCACGUCAGGGAGCCAAAAUGAGCAACUGCUGGGCGGGGUCUUCGAGGCAGAGUGGGGCAGAGCCAGCUUUGGGGCAUGGCAGGUGGCCGGCCGGCCACAGAAGGGUCCCGCUCCGCAGAGCUCUCUUCUGGCCCCCACACUGGCUGUACUUAGUUUUGACGGCCAGAAACCAGAACAUCCGCUCGCUCACACAGAACGCAGAGGGUGGAGCCUGCAAUCCCAGUGCACUGCCGCUCAGUAAGGGGCCUCGCCAGGAAGGACAAUGCGGCCACAAGGUCACGCAGACACAGCAAGGACGAGCGAGGCUUGGAGAACACACGCGUCCUCCUGCGAGGGCAGGAGAGAAUCUGGGGCUGGGACAACAGCUGGGAAAAUCGGAUGCCGGGCCACAGCCCCCAGGGCUCCCCGACCGCUCAGCCGCGCUGCCUGGAAACCCCAGGCUGACCCCGCCUGCAACAGCGAGACGUGGGGACACUGCCCGCCCCCCACACUUCUGCACUGAAGAAAUAAUAAGUUCCCAGGAGCACACCAUAUUUUAUCCAGCCAUAUGUGUGGCCCAGACAGGAAUCCGGACCCCCUCCGAGCCUGUUCACUCCCAAGGCAGAAUUACAUCCUCACUGACAGGGCCAGGCCUCCGCUCCUCCUGCUUCUCCUCCCGUCUCCACCAGCACCGUAAAUUGCCGUCAAACUCAGCGAAAACAGCUGAGCGGGGAAGAGAGCAUUUCCUCUCACAGCCAAAUAGAUGUGGACGAAACCGAGUGCUCACACGCUCUCAACAGGAGCUUUCUGGGUGAACAAAUGAAAACAAGAGUAAGGGAAACAAUGUAUCAACCUAAGGCAGCCUGGAAACAAUGUGAGCAAGGUUACAAGCAGGGCGGAAAAACAAUAGCUGGACUUUAAUUCAGAAAGGCUGAAAUAGUUGCUCAAUAAAUGAUCGUAAACAACAGGGGGAGAGUAUUGGUUGAGGCACCCAUGCAGGUGAAACAUAUUAUUCAAAAUCCAAGGCCACACUUCCAAAAUGCCCCACCACUAAGAAGUCUCUUCUGUUACUAAAAACACAAAUCCCCAGCCAUCUGCCACAAAAAUUGUAUUUCUGUGGAGCUACGGCAAAGUCUAAAAAUCUGUAUUCCCAAGGUGUUAAGGUUGAUGGCUAUGUCUUCUUCGGUUUAAUGGAGUUUGACUUUUUCAUCCAACAAGUAUUUAUUGAGCUUCAAGUGUGUAUCAGGCAGUUAGGUGCUGGGCACGCAGCAUGACCGAGGUGGAGGUCCCCAGUCGUUGGGCUGACCCUGGGGGAGGCAGAAAAUCCUUCCUUCGAACAAGCAGCUCCAACAGGGACAAACCCACCUUCAUAGGCUCCUGGGGUCGCACUGUGAAGGAAGGGAAGACGCCCAGAAAGCAGCCACUCUACAAAGGCUAAAGUUCGGCAUGUUGCGGUGGUGGCAUCUGUGCCCGCUGUUACCCCAUGCCCUGGGCGGGGAGGCCUGAGAAGGGAGCCCCUCGACCUGCUUGGGGUCCCUUCUGUGAUGAGGUUACAACAGGGCAGGGCUCUGCGCCCUCCGGACGUGCAGGACAGGAGCGGGUUUCUCCCUGGGGCUGUGGGACUCAACUUCCUGGAAAUAAAGGUUGUAAUUACUGCAGCAGGCGAGGGCAGCUCACUUGCAGGCUGGCAGCAUUUGGGACGAUGUCCCUGGGGUUGGCAGGGCCAGGGGCCAAGCGCAUUUCCACCUCUACCACCAGAAGAAAACUGAUGGCUCCAGGCUGAAUCGCACAAAGUACCAGUUAUGAGGUUUAGGAGAAAGAAUAAGGAUGCAGCCUCUCCGCUCAUUUAUGGUGUCUGUCAAGGAGGCUCCUAGUCUCUCAGGGCCAAGGGGGCAUUCGGUGGCCAAAUACAUAUAAAGUGCUCCAGCGAGCGGCAACAAACCUCUGCUGUUCUGAUUUUCAUGGGUGUGGGAAGAAAGGCAACGAAGACCCAGCGCUCCGCUGGAUCCUGAUCCAUGCAGGCCAGGGGCCACAGCUGACAUCGGACAAGGCUUCUCCCCAAGGGAGCCCUGGAGUCCCACUCCUGGCUUCCAGACGCUCCGAGUACAGGGCAUUUGCCGAAAGCUCUCCUCACGGCAAGGGCUUCAGGUCCCUGGCCCUGUGUUUGAUUUCCAGCAUGGAAAAAAGAAAAAAGCUUCCUUCGUUCAAAGACUGGGUGAACCGAGGAGGUUAAAACCAUCAAAAGUGACUCCCAGGAGACAGGCUGCUGAGGACACACUUCCCAGCACUGUUUCUGCACUAAUCCCUGCUGGGUGAGAAUUCUUCCCAGGGUGCAAAUUUUGAAGAUUAAAGGUCGGCUCGUGAACAGUUUUGACUCUUUAAAGAGAACGGGAAGG